rnacentral:rRNA from 1 species
AACGAACGCUGGCGGCAUGCCUAACACAUGCAAGUCGAACGAGACCUUCGGGUCUAGUUGCGCACGGGUGCGUCACGCGUGGGAACCUGCCCUUAUGCUCGGAAUAACACCCCGUAAGGGGUGCUAAUACCGGAUAAUUUAUUCUGACACAACAUUUAUCGCCUUUGGAUGGGCCCGCGUUGGAUUAGCUAGUUGGUAGGGUAAAAGCCUACCAAGGCGACGCUCCAUAGCUGGUUUGAGAGGAUGAUCAGCCACACUGGGACUGAGACACGGCCCAGACUCCUACGGGAGGGAGCAGAGGGGAAUAUUGGACAAUGGGCGAAAGCCUGAUGCAGCAAUGCCGGGUGAGUGAUGAAGGUCGUAGGGUUGUAAAGCUCUUUUACCCGGGAUGAUAAUGACAGUACCGGGAGAAUAAGCUCCGGCUAACUCCGUG